rnacentral:lncRNA from 1 species
CAGAUAAUAAAUGCAUUAAUUUUAUUUUUCAGUUAUAGUAACAUGUUUAACAACUAAAGUUGUAUGCACAAUUUUAGCAAUAUAUGUGACAUGUUCCAUUUACUGAAACUUGACCCAGAAACCGUUUAUACAUGUAUAUACAAUAACUGUUUAGUGUCUUUAAAUCUACAAACACAGCUGAUAUUUGUACACACUAAACAUGCUAAACAGAUAUUGUCUUAAUUUAUCAGUCAACAGUUCAUUUGUACAUAUAAAAAAGAAGAUGUGGUAUGAUUGCCAAUGAGACAACUGUUCACAAGAGACCAAAAUGACACAGACAUUAACAACUAUAGGUCACCGUAUGGCCUUCAACAAUGAGCAAAGCCCAUACUGCAUAGUCAGCUAUAAAAGGCCCCGAUAAGACAAUGUAAAACAAUCCAAACGAGAAAAUUAACAGCCUUAUCUAUAUAAAAAAAUUAACAUAAAAACAAAAAUGUAACACAUAAACAAACGACAACCACUGAAUUACAGGCUCCUGACUUAGGACAGGCACAUACAUAAAUAAUGUGGAGGGGUUAAACAUUAGCAGGAUCCCAACCCUCCCCUAACCUGGGACAGUGGUAUAACAGUACAACAUCAGAACGAACUAUAAAAAUCAGUUGAAAAAGGUUUAACUCAUCAGAUGGACAAAAAUACAAGUGGACGUGGCCGCGUACUUAUACAUCAUAACACAAAAAGACACAAUGAACAGAUCUGAGAGUACUUGCAGUUAUCUGACAGCUAGUUCAAAGCCACAAACAACUAAUAAAAAAAUCAUGCCAGGGGCGUAGCUACCCGGAGACACGACAGCACGUGCAUCCACAUCGUUUUCUUAACAAACAAAAAAAAACAAAAAAAAAACAAAAACAAAAAAAGCAG